CCAAGGAGUCUAACAUGUGCGCGAGUCAUUGGGACUUGUAUAUGCCCAAAGGCGAAAUGAAAGUGAAGGUCGGUUCCGACGCCGAUCGAGUUGGGACCCCCGUAUCUUGUUACAGGUGUGCGGGGGGCACCAACGACCCGUCCCGUCCGCAGCGUCGGUGGGGCGGAGUGUGAGCGUACACGUUGGGACCCGAAAGAUGGUGAACUAUGCUUGGGCAGGACGAAGCCAGAGGAAACUCUGGUGGAGGUCCGUAGCGAUUCUGACGUGCAAAUCGAUCGUCAGACCCGAGUAUAGGGGCGAAAGACUAAUCGAACCAUCUAGUAGCUGGUUCCCUCCGAAGUUUCCCUCAGGAUAGCUGGCGCUCGUUUGGGAAUCAGUCUCAUCCGGUAAAGCGAAUGAUUAGAGGCCUUGGGGCCGAAACGACCUCAACCUAUUCUCAAACUUUAAAUGGGUGAGAAGUCCGGCUUCCACGACUGAAGCUCGGACGAUUCAGGAUGAGAGUGCCCAGUGGGCCACUUU
rnacentral:rRNA from 1 species